CAGUUAUCGUUUAUUUGAUAGUACCUUACUACUUGGAUACCUGUGGUAAUUCUAGAGCUAAUACAUGCUAAAAACCUCGACUUCGGAAGGGGUGUAUUUAUUAGAUAAAAAACCAAUGCCCUUCGGGGCUCCCUGGUGAUUCAUAAUAACUCAACGAAUCGCAUGGCCUUGCGCCGGCGAUGGUUCAUUCAAAUUUCUGCCCUAUCAACUUUCGAUUGUAGAGUAUUGGUCUACAAUGGUUUCUACGGGUAAAAACCGUUGCUCGUAGUUACUAUGUCUGGUGCAAAAGCGUCACCGAGACAGACAUCACUGGUUCAGAGGACGCUUGAUAAGCUGAUUCUGAGGCGAGUCGUUAUAUAUGACCGUCGAAACGCGUGACAAGUGAUGGGCUUCUCGCGCUUCCAGCAGAAGUUUAUGUUACACGCUGUUCCUUCGGGCCAAGUCUUGAAGUUACCAAACGAACGGGGAAUUAGGGUUCUAUUCCGGAGAGGGAGCCUGAGAAACGGCUACCACAUCCAAGGAAGGCAGCAGGCGCGCAAAUUACCCAAUCCCGACACGGGGAGGUAGUAAGUCACACUCCUAACUACAUUUCCUACUAGAUCUAACCGUAUAACAGGUGACAAUAAAUACUGAUGCAGAGCUCUUUUGGGUUUUGCAAUUGGAAUGAGUACAAUUUAAAUCCCUUAACGAGGAACAAUUGGAGGGCAAGUCUGGUGCCAGCAGCCGCGGUAAUUCCAGCUCCAAUAGCGUAUAUUAAAGUUGUUGCAGUUAAAAAGCUCGUAGUUGAAACUUGGGUCUGGCUGACCGGUCCGCCUCACCGCGAGUACUGGCUCGGCCGGGCCUUUCCUUCUGGGGAAUCGCAUGCCCUUUAUUGGGUGUGUUGAGGAUCCAGGACUUUUACUUUGAAAAAAUUAGAGUGUUCAAAGCAGGCCUAUGCUCGAAUACAUUAGCAUGGAAUAAUAGAAUAGGACGUGUGGUUCUAUUUUGUUGGUUUCUAGGACCGCCGUAAUGA
rnacentral:rRNA from 1 species